ACCAAGAUGGCUUAGUGGCUAAAGCACCUGCCUAGCAUGCAGGAGGCCCAGGUUUGAUUCCCGGCCUUGGUA